rnacentral:piRNA from 1 species
AGCAAAGAUACUUCUUGGAAUGGCUGC